UACGUAGGGGGCGAGCGUUGUCCGGAUUCAUUGGGCGUAAAGCGCGCGUAGGCGGCCCCGCAAGUCGGCCGUGAAAUCUCCGGGCUCAACUCGGAGGGGUCGGGCGAGACUGCGAGGCUCGAGGUGGGCAGAGGGCAGUGGAAUUCCGGGUGUAGUGGUGGAAUGCGUAGAGAUCCGGAGGAACACCAGUGGCGAAGGCGGCUGCCUGGGCCUGGCCUGACGCUGAGGCGCGAAAGCAUGGGGAGCGAACAGG
rnacentral:rRNA from 1 species